rnacentral:rRNA from 1 species
UACGGAAGGCAGCAGUGGGGAAUAUUGCACAAUGGGCGAAAGCCUGAUGCAGCUAUGCCGCGUGUAUGAAGAAGGCCUUAGGGUUGUAAAGUACUUUCAUCGGGGAGGAAAAACAAAACUAAUAAUUUUAUUUCUUGACGUUACCCGAAAAAGAAGCACCGGCUAACUCCGUGCCAGCAGCCGCGGUAAUACGGAGGGUGCUAGCGUUAAUCGGAAUUACUGGGCGUAAAGCGCACGCAGGCGGUCUGUUAAGUCAGAUGUGAAAUCCCCCGGGCUUAACCUGGGAACUGCAUUUUGAAACUGGCAGGCUUGAGUCUCGUAGAGGGGGGUAGAAUUCCAGGUGUAGCGGUGAAAUGCGUAGAGAUCUGGAGGAAUACCGGUGGCGAAGGCGGCCCCUGGACGAAGACUGACGCUCAGGGUGCGAAAGCGUGGGGAGCAAACAGGGAUUAGAUACC